AUGAAGAACGUAGCGAAAUGCGAUAAGUAAUGUGAAUUGCAGAAUUCAGUGAAUCAUCGAAUCUUUGAACGCACAUUGCGCCCGCCAGUAUUCUGGCGGGCAUGCCUGUUCGAGCGUCAUUUCAACCAUCAAGCCCCCGGCUUGCGUUGGGGACCUGCGGCUGCCGCAGGCCCUGAAAAGCAGUGGCGGGCUCGCUGUCACACCGAGCGUAGUAGCAUACAUCUCGCUCUGGGCGUGCUGCGGGUUCCGGCCGUUAAACCACCUUCAUAACCCAAGGUUGACCUCGGAUCAGGUAGGAAGACCCGCUGAACUUAAGCAUAUCAAUAAGCGGAGGA
rnacentral:misc_RNA from 1 species